CCAAAGGCUCUUCUCAGAGCCACCCACUCUUUCAGAAAAAGUAGCU
rfam:Heterocephalus glaber contig168513, whole genome shotgun sequence.